UAAGCUUAUGCAUGGAACUGUCUUGCAUUUCAGUUCCCCGGGGAUAUCACUUAGGGAGCCUUGGCUCCACAGAUCAGAACGGUCCAUGCCCAGCUUCAGGAAACUGGCACAUCUAGUCGUUCAUCUGCCACCUGCUGAGGACAGGUUUAGGCAGGGGGAUCCCCCUCUUCAGCAGAGUAGUAUGUCUGACUGACUUACUACAGCUUUACUCAGAUCAGUGCACUGUAUGAAGUGAGGACAAGCCAGGCUUUGCUGACCCCUCACAUCACUGAACAACCUGUAGUUUUUGUCACCACGACUGUGAUGGAACCAGGAACCCACUUCAACUCUGACAUCCUGUACACCAGAGAAGCAGCAAGCAGUGUUGUUGCCCAGCUUUGCAGGUCCCUUACUUGCCCAGUUGAACAUGUAGCCACGUGGCAGGUCCCUUCUAGCACCACAGCCUCCAUGUGGAUCCCAGUAACAGAAGUUCCAGACAGACUGCGGUUGGCAGUCCUCAGUGCCCACCUGUUUCUGCACCCUGCAUAGAAGAAAGCCAAGCCCUGGAACAGAGCCAGGUCCUGGAGUAUCUAGCUGGUGACCCACGAAGCACUGACAUGUUCCAGGCAGUGUGGCUGCUCUCUCAAUUCUAAGUGGGGAACAAACGUGGCCUACCUGCAGAGAUGCUCAAUGUGGUCUGCACUUCUCCAGCAAAAACCUCAUUCUUUCCUGGUUUUCUUUAUAUUUUAAACGAAUGAGGAGUUUGAUGUGGAGAUGAGGAACAGAAAGAAUGGGGCAGAAGGAUGAGGGCCUUUUCAAAUAGUAAAGCUUACUAAAAUGAGCUCUGUAAUAAGAAUUUUGCAAGGGAUGUAAGAAACGGAAGGUACACGGUGGGUUGUAUGCUUUCACUGGAGCAGUCUGAAGCUUUUCUGAAGAUGUUAAAAAUACCAAGUUACUGAUUCUGUGGCAGUACCUGUAGUGCCUAUAGCACUGCUCAGGUCUCAGUCCUUCAUUGCAUUGUGAAGGCAUGCAAAACUCAACCGAAAAGGAGGACAACCUUUAUUUGCACACAGUGUUUUGAGCCCCACACAGAGUACGGUGGGCUGUGGCCCUGGGGCACCCAGUGUUCGCUCCCCUGGCUCUCCCUUGGGAUGCCAUUUUCUUAUAGGCUGCUUUGAAGUGCUGUGUGUGCCUUCACACCUUGUCACUUUUAACAAUGGAGCCUUGGGUGAACCGGCGCUGCUGUGCGGAGUGCAAAAGGCGGGAUGCGCUGUCCCUGUGCUGCUUUGCACCCUUUUCCCGCCCUUGUCUCCCAUCUCCAAGACGGCCCUCCUGCCCUGAACCGCCCAGCACCGCCGCUGAGGAGGGCCGCUCUUUCCGCUGCCCAGCGCCAUGGCGGCCGCGAGCCGCCUCCCCAUUGGCCGCCCGCCCCGGAGCGCCGGUAGCAACAGCGACAAAUAUAUCUCCCCGCCUCCUGAUUGGC
rnacentral:lncRNA from 1 species